GGGUGCGAUCACCCCAGCGCUAAUGCACCGGAU
rnacentral:rRNA from 1 species